AGGAUGGAGGGCUUAGCUGAGGGACACCUCCUAAAACCAAUCAAGAGGCACUGGCAAGAGAUAAGAAGACUGGAAAAAGAGAUUUCUGCUUCUGACACUAACAGAAUGGCAGUUGCUGGAGAUUGCUAAAGUGGUUUCAUCUGGGUCAUUCCGGAAUUCUGGAAUUGGCAGCCUGAGCCAAUUCCAGACAUAGUUGCAGCAGUACCUCAUUGGUUGUCCCUGAGAGCACUCCUUCAACGACUCACUCAACAAGAAUCCCCAUUCCAGGCUCUGCUUCUAGGGAGCCUGGCCUCAUCUGUCUUCAAGGAGCUUUCUGCCUAGUAGAGAACCAUACCUGUAAACAUACAAACAAAAUGUAAAUCAUAGUGUGAAGUCAUGAAUGUGAAUGUACAAAACACCAAACCUGAAGCAAAGGAUGUAUUACAAAGAUUUUGGAGAAUGCAUGGAAUAAAGGAAGGACUGAACAAUUAAGCUAUGGGAAGAACUGAAACACAGAAGUUCCAAGACCUCCAGAAGCUGGGGAAUGGAAACAUGCUUUCUAUAGCAUUGCCUAGCGUUGUGCAACUCUGACACUCUCUGUUUCUAUGUAUCUUAAUUCAGGUUUUCCAAUUAUUAGAAGAAUUAAUCUAACUGAACCAACUUGGGUCAGAUAUCUCUAUUUUGAGAGCAUAUAGCUAUGUCCAGGGGACACAGUAGAACACAUAGGCUUAUCCUUGGGGAAACUAAACGGAGCUGAGCAACCAUCGCAGUUUGUGU